UACAGAGGGAGCAAGCGUUGUUCGGAAUUACUGGGCGUAAAGGGCGCGUAGGCGGUCCGAUAAGUCCCGUGUGAAAUCCCUCGGCUCAACUGUGGAACUGCCAUUGAUACUGGUUGGCUUGAGUACAGAUGAGGUAGGCGGAAUUGACAGUGUAGCGGUGAAAUGCUUAGAUAUUGUCAAGAACACCUAUUGCGAAGGCAGCUUACUAGCUGUAACUGACGCUGAGGCACGAAAGCGUGGGGAUCAAACAGG
rnacentral:rRNA from 1 species